GACAGAGGGGGCAAGCGUUGCUCGGAAUUACUGGGCGUAAAGGGCGCGUAGGCGGGAUGGUAAGUCGGUCGUGAAAUCCCUCGGCUCAACCGAGGAACGUCGAUCGAUACUACCGUUCUUGAGGGUUGCAGAGGAGACUGGAAUUCCCGGUGUAGCGGUGAAAUGUGUAGAGAUCGGGAGGAACACCGGUGGCGAAGGCGGGUCUCUGGGCAAUUCCUGACGCUGAGGCGCGAAAGCGUGGGGAGCAAACGGG
rnacentral:rRNA from 2 species